AAAGAGAAGGAGGCCUCAGCUAAAUUCUGUUGGCAUAAGCAGUACUAUGAAAGCUGGGACAGAACAGCUUUUCCAAGUCUGUCUAAGUGGUUGUGUUUGCGGCUGUUCAAAGUGAUCUCCAGCUCUUGUUCAUAGUUUGCUUUAAGUCAGCUCUGCAUGUUUCUCAUGUGACGGAGAAUGAAACUUAGCCUGAUUGCUGCAGUAAGUUUGCUUCUUCACCAGCGGGGAUAUUUGUUUAUGAGGUAAGAUCUUCAUAGCUACUAUGAGCUGCACUAAUGAAAUCCAGUGGAACUGAUUUUCAUUUCACUUUUUGUGUGUGUCAGGAUGAACAGACAGCUCGCUUACAGUUGUAUGUCGUGUUCUGUUCAGAAAGCUAAAAUGGCAGUGGGCCAAAGGUGACACACCACCUCCUUGGUGAGUUUUGAAACUAAGUCACAAAGUACUGCAGUGGCUUGGAAGAAGUGGCAGACUGCCGAGGGGACUGCAAAUGUGCUCCCAGCAUUACAGAGCUUGCUGAAAUCUAAUUAUGGUUUUGAGAUGUAUUUGUUCUAAGUUCUAGAUUGGGUGGGUUUGUAACAGAACACCACUGCCACAACUGCUGGAUUAUUUCCCAUUAAACGUAGGCCUAAUUCAGGUCUGCUUUGUGUUCUCAAAUAUUAGCAGUGUGCUGAUUAAAUGUAGUAAUACAAUUACUUUCUCUACUGAUGAGCCAGAAAUUUGAUUUGUGGGUCCCUUCUAGCUCAAAGAAUCACUCUAUGAUUCCAGCUCUGUGUGGUCUGGGGCUAUCUUGAACUGUCAGUACCAGCAAGGCAGUGACAUCUCUGAGGAAGCCUUGCACAGAGCACCAGGUUUGGAGCCCAGGAUGCAUGAGGGGACACAGAAGGCUUUUCCUGAGCGUAGGAGCAGCCUUUAGGAAGCAAGUUGGCGCAUGGGAGUGAACCCACAGAAAGGAGUCCUCAGCAUAUGAUCACUUCCGCAGCAGCAAUGAGACUUGAGGCAGGAUGGCACAGAAGCAUCACUGAGUUACUACCAACCUCUGAGAA
rnacentral:lncRNA from 1 species